AUUGAACGCUGGCGGCAGGCCUAACACAUGCAAGUCGAGCGAGCGGCGGACGGGUGAGUAAUGUAUGGGCAUCUGCCUGAUGGAGGGGGAUAACUACUGGAAACGGUAGCUAAUACCGCAUACCAUCAGAUAGGCCCAGAUGGGUUUAGCUAGUGGGUGAGGUAACGGCUCACCAAGGCCCCGAUCCCUAGCUGGUCUGAGAGGAUGAUCAGCCACACUGGGACUGAGACACGGCCCAGACUCCUACGGGAGGCAGCAGUGGGGAAUAUUGCACAAUGGGCGAAAGCCUGAUGCAGCCAUGCCGCGUGUAUGAAGAAGGCCUUCGGGUUGUAAAGUACUUUCAGUCGGGAGGCGUUACCGACAGAAGAAGCACCGGCUAACUCCGUGCCAGCAGCCGCGGUAAUUC
rnacentral:rRNA from 1 species